UCCAGGAUAGCUCUGUAAGUAGAGCAUGAGACUCUUAAAUCUCAGGGUUGUGGGUUCAAGCCCUACAUUGGGCAAAA